AAAUACUACCUUUAAAAUCGGUGUCGGUUUGCCCCGGUAAGAAAGAAAUGAUUAUUCCCAGGAGGAGGGGAAGAUACUCUACUAAAUGACCUUAACUAUUGAUGAUCUGUUAAUCCGGAUGCUGAUUCCACUAAACCAAGUUCAAGCAGUGACUCAGUCUUCAGGUGUUGGGGAAAUUGAAAGUCAGUGAUGGAGUACUGUGAGGCCUCCCCCGACCCACCCAAUGGGGUCGGGGGAUACUACUCACCCACCACCACCGAGGAUGUCCCAGAUGGAUAUAAGGAAAACACAAAUUGUGAAGCCUCAAUAGAGGAUGCCUCUCCUUUGCCAACCAUAGACUACAGCAACUUGUACAUACCAACGGAAGUU